rnacentral:lncRNA from 1 species
AGGGGAGGGGGGGGGGCUGGUGAAAACCGAGAGAGAAAGGAAGAGAGGAAACACUGGACCGUGGCUUUGGCAGCAGGGGCAAAACCAGCCUUGCUCUGAUACCAAGUUGAUGCAGCACCAGUGCGGGGAAAGAGGAGAAGAAGGAAGAACAAGAGAAAGAGAAGGAAGAAGAGGUUGUAGAGACGCAGGAAGAAUAGAGGAGGAGAGGAGAAAAAGAGAAGAAAGAACGUAGGGGGAAAGAAAUUCCAAAUCACUUCAUUAAACCCUAAUCAUGAAAAUAGUUCCCUAUAUAUAGGGCCCAAAUACACAACUUGCAUAAACCCCCCUUACACAGAAAUAAAUCCUAAUGAACCCACAAAUAAN